AAGUGUAUUAACACAUUUCUUUUAAUAUAAAGAAUGGGUAAUGCUAAACAUUCACUAUAUCAAGACCAUGCAUGUGUCCCCAGACCUAGGUCUUUCCCUGGGUCUGGUUUCAUAAAUGCUGGUGAUAAAC
ensembl:snoRNA SNORA72 Small nucleolar RNA SNORA72